GGGUCUAUGAUGACAAACCAAAGUCAUGAAGAGAGGUGAUGACAUAAAUAUCAUGCUCAGGUUCCGGCUGCUGAGGCCC
rnacentral:snoRNA from 2 species